ensembl:lncRNA
GGACAGGAUGUGGAGAAAUUGGAACCUUUGUACAUUGCUGGUGGGAAUGUAAAAUGGUACAGCCACCGUGUAAAACAGUUGGCAGUUCCUCAAAAAGUUAAACAAAGAAUUACCAUAUGACCCAGCAAUUCCACUCCUAGGUAUAUAUCCAAGAGAAUUGAAAACAGGUACUCAAACAGAUACUUGUACACCAAUGCUCAUUGCAGCAUUAUUCACAAUAGCCAAAAGGUGGAAACAACCCAAGUGUUCAUCAACAGAUGAAUAAAAAACCAAAAUGGGGUAUACACAUAUACUGGAAUAUUCAGUCAUAAAAAGGAAUGAAGUUCGGACACAUGCUACAACAUGGAUGAAUCUUGAAAACAUUACUCUAAGUGAAAUAAUCCAAAUACAAAAGGACAAAUAUUGUAGGAUUCCACUUAUAUGAAAUAAUAUAGAAUAGGCAUAUUCAUAAAUAUAGAAAGUAGGUUAGAGGUUACCAGGAGCUGGGGGAAGUGGGGAAUAAGAAGUUAUUGCUUAAUGUGUUCAGAGCUUGUGUUUGGGGUGCUGCAAAAGUUUUGGAACUAGAUAAUGAUGGUGUUUGCACAACACUGUGAAUGUAAUUAAUGUCACCUAAUUGUACAUUCAAAAAUGGUUAAAAUGGCAAAUUUUAUGUUAUAUAUAUUUUACCACAAUAAGAAAAGUUUGCCCCAAUCUAGUUACAUUUCUUUCUGAUCUAUCAUCCAUAGAAUCAAUUCCCACACAUAUUACUGAGGUUUCGGCCAAUAUCAGUUAGCUACAUUUUAUCAUUUUUGUGUGUAUGUGGCUUUCUCCUCACAGGUCCAACUCUACUUCCCCUGGGACAUGCAGGAAUCUGAAUCAAGUAAUGGGUAUAGAGACACCAACAAGUGAUAUGUGUGAAUCGUGAGAAAGAUUAGCCAAAUCAUUAGAGGAUCCCCAAGUCAUGCAGGUUCAGCCCAUUAGACUGGGGAGGAAGUCUGCCUUUGCCACCAAGGGAGGCUUAGUGGUGGUUGGGGUUUAGGGAACUCAAAUCUAUCCAAAUCAACCCUGAUGUUACUAUGCCAAUUCUCAAGGUCCCAUUUUCCCCCCAAUCAAUGGUCUUUUGGUUUCACAUAAAGGACCAGGAGAUCUUGUGAACUCAACCUGCAUUGUAAUUCAGCAACCUGCAGGAUUUGGCUUUAUGUCUGAUUUCAGGCUACAUCAGUUCUGUGACUAGAAGAGAUAGAGAUUUCUUGUUUUUAAAGUAGACUUUAUUUUUUAGAGCAAUUUUAGGUUCGGCAGAGUGUGAGAGGCCCUGUUCUUUCACAUCCUUACCAAUCUUUCGUACUGUUAAUUUUUCACUUUUGCCAAUCUAAGGAGCAUGAAGUGGUAUCUCAUGUGGUUUAAAUUGUCAUUUCCCUGAUAACUAAUGAAGUUGAGCAUGUUUUCAUAUACUUACUGGCCAUUUAGGUAUUCUCUUGUGAAAUGCUCAUUCGACUCUUUUUGCCUAUAUUUCUGUUGAUAUCUGCCCUCUUGUUGAAUUGUACAUUUUAUAAUGUAGAUAUGAAAUAUUUGAUGGCUUAAGUGAUGCAAAUACUUUUUCCUAUUCUGUAAUUUGCCUUUGCACUGUUUAUGGUGUUUCUGAGAGAAAAGAAGUUAUUAUUUUUAGUGUAGUCAAUUUUAUCAGUCCUUGCCUUUUAUUGUUAAUAAUUUUGAUGUCUUGUUAAGAAAUCUUUUACUAUUCCCAAAGUCAAAAAUAUAUCUCCUGUGUUAUCUUCUUUGCUUUUCACAUUUAGGUUUAUAAUCUAUCUGUGAAUUAUCUGAUUUUUCCGAUAUAUGAUGUGAGGUAAACAUCCAAUUUAGCGUUUUUUUUUCUAUUUGGACACCCAGUUGUCCCAACACCAUUUAUUAAAAAGACUGCCCUGGUACCAUUGCUCUACUGUGCCACAUUUUUGUUAAAUCAAGUUUGCAAAUAUGCAUGGGUCUUUUUCUGAGCUGUUUGUCCAAGUAGGCUAGUUUUCUACUCUUGUGCCAAUACUACGAUCCUAAUUACUAUAGCUUUAUUAAAAAAUCUGAACAUCUGAUAAAGCAAGUCCUCCCAUAUUGUUCUUCUUCAGGAGUCAUGGCUAUUUUUGGCCUUUUUCAAUUCUCUAUAAAUUUUGGAAUCAGUCAUGUUCCACAAAACAAUAACAACCCAUCAAUGCUUUAACUGGAAUUGCAUUGAAUCUGUAGAUCAAUUUGGGGAACUGACAUCCUUGUAAUAUUGAGUUCACCAGCCUAUGAACAUGGUAUAUCAUUCCGUUUAUCUACAUCUUCUUUAAUCUCUCUUUAAAGUUAUAUAGUUUUCUCCAUUAAAGAACUUACAUGUCCUCAGAUGUAUUUCUAGGAUUUCUAAGUAACCGAUUUUUAAAUGCCAUUUAAAUGGUAAUUUAAAAUUUUUAUUUUCUAACUGUAUCUGCUUAUAUACAAAAAUACAAUUGAUGUUUGCAAAUUGAUUUUGUACCCAGUGAACUUUACUCCUGGGAUGUUUAUCUCCAUUCUUCAAAUAUUUUCUCCUCUCAUUUAUUUGUUUGUUUAGUCUUACACUUUCUCUGAGACUAUUAUCAAGAUGCUGGCACUUCUAUUUUCCAUUUCUCUUGGUUUUUUAAUUAAUAUUUUCUAUAUUUUUAUUCUUCCCUGCUGCUUUCUGGGAGAAUUCCUCGAUCUGAUCUUCCAAUUCACUUAUUCAUUCUUCAUCUGUAUUCAACCUACUAUUUAUCCCAUCUAUUGCGUUCUCUAUUUCAACUGUAUAUAUUUUUUGUAGCUAAUAAUUCCACUUUUCUGUGCCUGAGGGAAGGGGUAAGGGAUGAUCCUACAGAGAAGGUGGUGAUGAGCUGUCUGGAGAGGUGAGCAGGGGUUUGCCAGAUUAUGAGAGAAAGGAGAAUCAACCUGUGGGUUCAGCAGUAGCCAAGGCCUGGAGACCAGACAGCAGGGCCCAGCUUUUCCUGCUGGGAAUGGCUGGAGCACUGGAAGUAGGGUGGGAGGGAGAUGAGGUAGGAAACUGCGGGGCCUUGUACUUUAUAAGGCCAGAGUCACUGAGGCUGGUGGAGAGAGAGCCUUGACUUGUGAGCUCUGCAGGCUGUGGUAACCUGUGGAAAGAUGGCAGCUUCAAGGCAGUGUUGGAGGACACCCAGCCCUUUGAGGUGAAGAGACUCUCCUCCACUUCAUGCUCCAGCUCCAUCCCCCUUCCCUUGGGCACCUGCCAGAAGGUCCCUCCUUUUUUUCCUGGAGAGGAAGGUAAGUGGAGAUGGGGAAGGAGACAUGGACCCAGAAAAGGCACCCUAGAGAACUUGUGAUUAGAUCUGGAUUUUGUGGGAUGCUGGGGCAGUGGGUGGAGGGAGGGAAGUGAUUCAAAUAAGGAGUAGAGAAAGGCAGCUCUGAUAAAGGCAGGAGUCUGUGUUAGAGAAAGAAGAUGGGGAAGCACCAAGAGCUUGCCUUUGAACAGAAGGCCCUAAUCUGGAAGAAUUUGGGAGCUGAGGCUGGUGAGGGAGGGGCCAGACCCUGGAGGUAACCCCAGGGUCAUGGCCAUCAUUUCUCAAAAGCCACUGCAGGUCAUAGGAACUUCUCUCCCUCCCCUAGCUGCCCCACUGCCUCCUUCCUAGUGGUUUCCUGACACUCAGGCCCCAGGCUCUUCUGAAGUUCUCCCAUCUUUCCCACAGAUCCUUCCCUCUUUGAGGAGAGGGUGCCCCAUGAUUUAUCCUCACUAUCUUCUCCACAUAGGUAGCCCCAGGGCCUUGACAGGAGUGAAACUUCCUGGAUGCUCUGUUCCACUGAUAGCUUCUACAGUGCCUCUUUUCUUUGAGAGGACCCCACACAUCAUCCUUCCAGAGUAAGGGAGAAUUCUUUCUGCCUGACUGCCUUUGAACUGGGACAUCAGCUUUUUUCUGCCUUUGGAUUCGAAAUGGAACAUCAGCUCUUCCUGGGUCUCAAGCCUGCCGGCCUUUGGAAUGGAACUACAGCAUCAAUUCUCCUGGGUCUCCAGCUUGCCAACUCACCCUACAGAUCCCGGGGCUUGUCAGCCUCCGAAAUUGUGUGAGCCGAUUCCUUAUAAUAAAUCUGUCUGUCUCUCUGUCUCUUUCUCUCUCUAUAUAUAUAUACAUAAAUUCUAUUGGUUCUGUUUCUCUGGAUAUAGAUUUGGAAAUAAAUAUUUGUAUAAAUUAAAUCUAUUUAUAUACUGGGUUCUCAAAAAUGAUUUUUAAUAUUGGGAUGCAUUAAG